AUGAACGCUGGCGGCGUGCCUAAUACAUGCAAGUCGAGCGAACGGACGAGAAGCUUGCUUCUCUGAUGUUAGCGGCGGACGGGUGAGUAACACGUGGAUAACCUACCUAUAAGACUGGGAUAACUUCGGGAAACCGGAGCUAAUACCGGAUGAUAUUUUGAACCGCAUGGUUCCAAAGUGAAAGACGGUCUUGCUGUCACUUAUAGAUAGAUCCGCGCUGCAUUAGCUAGUUGGUAAGGUAACGGCUUACCAAGGCAACGAUGCAUAGCCGACCUGAGAGGGUGAUCGGCCACACUGGAACUGAGACACGGUCCAGACUCCUACGGGAGGCAGCAGUAGGGAAUCUUCCGCAAUGGGCGAAAGCCUGACGGAGCAACGCCGCGUGAGUGAUGAAGGUCUUCGGUUCGUAAAACUCUGUUAUUAGGGAAGAACAUAUGUGUAAGUAACUGUGCACAUCUUGACGGUACCUAAUCAGAAAGCCACGGCUAACUACGUG
rnacentral:rRNA from 1 species